CCUACGGGAGGCAGCAGUGGGGAAUAUUGCACAAUGGGGGAAACCCUGAUGCAGCGACGCCGCGUGAGUGAAGAAGUAUUUCGGUACGUAAAGCUCUAUCAGCAGGGAAGAAAAUGACGGUACCUGACUAAGAAGCCCCGGCUAACUACGUGCCAGCAGCCGCGGUAAUACGUAGGGGGCAAGCGUUAUCCGGAUUUACUGGGUGUAAAGGGAGCGUAGACGGCAGCGCAAGUCUGGAGUGAAAUCCCAUGGCUUAACCAUGGAACUGCUUUGGAAACUGUGCAGCGAGAGUGCAGGAGAGGUAAGCGGAAUUCCUAGUGUAGCGGUGAAAUGCGUAGAUAUUAGGAGGAACACCAGUGGCGAAGGCGGCUUACUGGACUGUAACUGACGUUGAGGCUCGAAAGCGUGGGGAGCAAACAGGAUUAGAUACCCUAGUAGUC
rnacentral:rRNA from 1 species